rnacentral:rRNA from 1 species
GGGGCAUGCUUUACACAUGCAAGUCGAGCGGCAACGCGGGGGCAACCUGAGGCGGCGAGCGGCGAACGGGUGAGUAAUACAUCGGAACGUGUCCCGUAGUGGGGGAUAGCCCGGCGAAAGCCGGAUUAAUACCGCAUAUGCUCUACGGAGGAAAGUGGGGGAUUCUCGGGCAACUGAGGACCUUACGCUAUGGAGCGGCGAUGUCCGAUUAGCUAGUUGGUAGGGUAAUGGCCUACCAAGGCGACGAAUCGGUAGCUUGGUCUGAGAAGGAUGAUCAGCACACUGGGACUGAGACACGGCCCAGACUCCUACGGGAGGCAGCAGUGGGGAAUUUUGGACAAUGGGGGAAACCCUGAUCCAGCCAUGCCGCGUGAGCGAAGAAGGCCUUCGGGUUGUAAAGCUCUUUUGGUCGGAAAGAAAGGGUUCGGGCGAAUACCCUGGAUCUUUGACGGUACCGGCAGAAUAAGCACCGGCUAACUACGUGCCAGCAGCCGCGGUAAUACGUAGGGUGCGAGCGUUAAUCGGAAUUACUGGGCGUAAAGCGUGCGUAGGCGGUUCUCCAAGUCCGUUGUGAAAUCCCCGGGCUUAACCUGGGAAUGGCAGUGGAAACUAGGGGACUUGAAUCUGGCAGAGGGGGGUGG